rnacentral:rRNA from 1 species
UACGUAGGGGGCAAGCGUUGUCCGGAUUUAUUGGGCGUAAAGAGCGUGUAGGCGGCUUUACAGGUCCGUUGUGAAAACUCGAGGCUCAACCUCGAGACGCCGAUGGAAACCCUCAGACUAGAGUCCGGAAGAGGAGAGUGGAAUUCCUGGUGUAGCGGUGAAAUGCGCAGAUAUCAGGAAGAACACCCGUGGCUAAGGCGGCUCUCUAGUACGGUACUGACGCUGAGACGCGAAAGCGUGGGGAGCGAACAGG